rnacentral:rRNA from 1 species
CGGUGGAUGCCUUGGCAUUAAGAGCCGAUGAAGGACGUGUGAAUCUGCGAUAAGCCUCGGGGAGCCGAUAAACGGGCUGUGAUCCGAGGAUGUCCGAAUGGGGGAACCCCGCCGCAUGCGAGUGCGGUGACCCGCACCUGAAUAUAUAGGGUGUGUGGAGGGAACGCGGGGAAGUGAAACAUCUCAGUACCCGCAGGAAGAGAAAAUAAUAAUGAUUCUGUUAGUAGUGGCGAGCGAACGCGGAUGAGGCUAAACCUGUG